GACAGAGGGGGCAAGCGUUGUCCGGAAUUACUGGGCGUACAGCGCACGCAGGUGGCAUGGCAAGUGUGGUGUGAAAGCCCCGCGCUUAACGCGGGGAGGCCAGCACAGACUGCCACGCUCGAGGGAUGCAGAGGGUAGUGGAAUUGCCGGUGUAGUGGUGAAAUGCGUAGAGAUCGGCAGGAACACCAAGGACGAAGGUAGCUACCUGGGCAUCACCUGACACUCAUGUGCGACAGCGUGGGGAGCCAACCGG
rnacentral:rRNA from 1 species